CUACGGGGCGCACCAGUCGAGGAUCUUCCGCAAUGGGCGCAAGCCUGACGGAGCAAUGCCGCGUGAGGGAUGACGGCCCUAGGGUUGUAAACCUCUGUCAGAAGGGACGAAGAACGUGACGGUACCUUCAGGGGAAGCCAUGGCUAACUACGUGCCAGCAGCCGCGGUAAUACGUAGAUGGCGAGCGUUAUUCGGAUUUACUGGGCGUAAAGGGUCCGUAGGGGGUCUGCCAAGUCUGAUGUGAAAUCCUGCGGCUCAACCGCGGAACUGCAUUGGAAACUGGCGGACUAGAGUGUGCGAGGGGUGAGCGGAAUUCCUGGUGUAGCGGUGGAAUGCGUAGAUAUCAGGAAGAACACCGAUGGCGAAGGCGGCUCACUGGCGCAUCACUGACCCUGAGGGACGAAAGCGUGGGUAGCAAACAGGAUUAGAUACCCCCGUAGUC
rnacentral:rRNA from 1 species